GGCGGCGUGCUUAACACAUGCAAGUCGAACGGAGUUGAUUUAAGGAAGCAAGCUUGCUUGAAGAAUUGAAUUAACUUAGUGGCGGACGGGCGAGUAACACGUGAGCAACCUACCUCUUACAGGGGAAUAACAACGGGAAACCGUUGCUAAUACCGCAUGAUAUGUGCUGAAGGCAUCUUUGGCACAUCAAAAGAGCAAUCUGGUGGGAGAUGGGCUCGCGUCUGAUUAGCUAGUUGGUAAGGUAACGGCCUACCAAGGCGACGAUCAGUAGCCGGACUGAGAGGUCGAACGGCCGCAUUGGGACUGAGACACGGCCCAGACUCCUACGGGAGGCAGCAGUGGGGAAUAUUGGGCAAUGGGCGAAAGCCUGACCCAGCAACGCCGCGUGAAUGAUGAAGGCCUUCGGGUUGUAAAAUUCUUUGGACAGGGACGAAGAAAGUGACGUACC
rnacentral:rRNA from 1 species